rnacentral:rRNA from 1 species
AUGCCUCUCAUGGCCGUCUCCUCCCCACCACCCUUCUCCUUCCCCUCCGCGCGCCACCCCCGCCGCGCCACCGCCGGGGCCACAGCAGCGCCCUCCGCCACCGCCAGCGACGACUUCGACUACCCCCUCGCCGACCCCUCCGUCCGCUGGCCCAGCCUCCGCUUCCCGCACCUCCCCGCGCCCCGCUUCCCCGCCGCCGACGCCGCCCCUCCUCCUCCUCCCGCCCCGGCGAGGCCGGGGCCCGCGGAGGACGACUCGUCCGCGCCCUCCGCCUCCGGCCCCUCGGUCGCCGCCGUCGCCGUCGAGCCGCUGGACGCACGGGCCCACCGCGGGAGGCUGAAGAAGCUGAGCAAGCUCGCGCUGCGCCGGGCGCGGGACUGGCGGGAGCGCGUGUCCGACCUCGCGGGCCGCCUCCUGGCGCUGCCCCCCGGCGCGCCCGUCGCGGAGGUGCUCGACGACGCGUGGGUGUCCCCCGACGAGCUCGCCUACGUGGUGCGCGCCGUGGGCGCGGCCUCCUGGCGGCGCGCGCUCGACGCCUUCGAGUGGCUCGCGGCGAGCGGCGACGGGGCCCCGGGCCCCCGCGUCGUCGCCGUCGUUCUCGGGGUCCUCGGCCGCGCACGCCAGGACGGGCUCGCGGAGGAGCUCUUCCUCCGCUUCGCCGGGGAGGGCGCCACCGUGCAGGUGUUCAACGCCAUGAUGGGCGUGUACGCCCGCUCCGGCCGCUUCGACGACGUUCGGCAGCUGCUUGACGCAAUGCGCGGCCAGGGGAUCGAGCCCGACCUGGUCAGCUUUAACACUCUGAUCAAUGCCAGCGCCAAGUCCGGGUGCUUAGCCCCCGGCGCCGCCUUCGAUCUCCUGCACGAAGUCCGGCAAGCUGGGCUCAGGCCGGACGUUAUCACUUACAACACCCUGAUCAGCGCUUGCUCGCAAGGUUCCAUUCUGGACGAUGCAGUGGCAGUGUUCAAAGAGAUGAUUGAUUCGGAGUGUCGGCCGGAUUUGUGGACGUACAAUGCCAUGGUGUCAGUUCAUGGCCGGUGUGGGACGGCCCGGGAGGCUGAGCAGAUGUUCAUGGAGCUGCUAGACAAGGGUUUCAAGCCGGAUGCAGUUACCUAUAAUUCUCUCCUUCAUGCUUUUGCGAAGGAAGGAGACGUCGACGCGGUGGAGCGUGUGUGCGAGGAGUUGGUUAAGGCUGGGUUCAGGAAGGAUGGAAUCACUUACAAUACCAUGAUUCAUAUGUAUGGGAAGAUGGGCAGGCUUGACCUGGCACUUGGUCUCUAUGAUGAGAUGAGAGCUAUAGGUUGCACUCCAGAUGCUGUGACUUACACUGUCUUGAUUGAUUCUCUGGGGAAGGUGGAUAGGAUAUCUGAUGCAGGGAAGGUGCUGGAGGAGAUGGUAGAUGCAGGAUUAAAGCCAACCCUGGUAACUUUCAGUGCUUUGAUAUGUGCAUAUGCCAAAGGCGGUAGGCGGGACGAGGCAGAGCAGACAUUUGAUCGCAUGGUUGCGUCAGGUGUCAAACCCGAUCGUUUAGCCUAUUUGGUUAUGCUGGACAUUAUCGCAAGGUCUGGUGAGACGAAAAAGCUGAUGGUUCUGUAUCGGACAAUGAUGAAGGAUGGUUAUGUACCAGAUGACACCUUGUAUCAGGUUAUGCUUGCUGCACUUGCAAAAGGAAAUGAACAUGAGGAGAUUGAAGGAGUUAUGCAAGACAUGGAGGUUGUUUGUCAGAUGGAUCGGCAACUGGUAUAUAGUAUACUCAUCAAGGCGGGUUGCAUUUUUCAGGGUGCUAAGCUGUUAAAGAAGGCAUGCCUACAAGGACACGAGCCUGACAGUAAGAGUUUACUGUCCAUUCUGGAUGCUUAUGAAACAAUGGGAAAGCAUGAAGAAGGCCUCUCUUUGCUUCAAUGCAUCCGGGAGAAUGUCCCCAGCUCCCGUAACUUGAUAUCUGAAUGUUCCAUCAUGCUUAUGUGCAAAAACCAGAAGAUUGCUGCUGCCCUUCAACAGUACAGCAGUAUGCAGACAUUAAAAUGUGGAUCUUUUGGUCAUGAUCGUAACUUGUAUGAGUGCUUGAUUACAUGCCUUGCGGAGGCUGAAUUCUUGCCAGAAGCUUCUCAGGUGUUCUGCGACAUGCAGUUUAUUGGCAUAGAGCCUUCCCAGAAGAUAUAUGAGAGUAUGAUCUCUACAUAUUGUAAAUUGGGCUUCCCAGAAACAGCUCACCAAUUGAUGGAUGAAGCUGUACAGCCUGGUGUUUGGCUAAAUACUCUUUCAUCUAGAGUAACCAUAAUCGAAGCAUAUGGGAAGACAAAACUCUGGCAGCAUGCGGAAAAUUUCGUGAAAGGACUGAAUCAAGAGGCAGGUGUUGACAGGCGAAUCUGGAAUGCAUUGAUACAUGCCUAUGCCGAAAGUGGCCUUUAUGAGCAAGCAAGGGCAGUCUUUGACAUUAUGAUUAAAAAGGGCCCUCUACCAACUGUUGAUUCAAUUAAUGGAAUGAUGAGAGCAUUGAUUACUGAUGGCAGACUAGAUGAGUUGUUUGUGGUUGUUCAGGAGCUUCAAGAUAUGGGUUUCAAGAUCAGCAAAAGCACAGUAAUCCUUAUGCUUGAAGCUUUUGCAAAAGCUGGGGAUGUUUUCGAGGUAAUGAAAAUAUAUAAUGGAAUGAAGGAAGCAGGAUACCUGCCAAACAUGCACAUCUACAGAAGUAUGAUUUCCCUGCUCUGCCGUAAUAAACGAUUCAGGGAUGUUGAAUUGAUGGUUGCGGAGAUGGAGGCAGCAGGAUUCAAGCCAGAUCUAGUCAUACUUAACACCCUUCUUUUGAUGUAUACUGGGAACGGAGACUUUGAUAAGACAGUAGAAGUAUACCAUAGUAUUUUGGAAGCUGGCUUAGAGCCUGAUGAAGAUACGUAUAAUACACUGAUAGUCAUGUACAGUAGAAACUUGAGGCCUGAAGAAGGUUUUACUCUCUUGAAUGAGAUGGGUAAACGAGGUUUGACACCCAGGUUAGAAUCCUAUAAAAGCUUGCUUGUAGCAUCUGGAAAAGCAAAACUAUGGGAGCAAGGUGAACAGCUUUUCGAGGAAAUAAGGUCAAAGGGUUAUCGGUUAAAUCGAUCUUUAUAUCACGUAAUGAUGAAAAUGUACAGGGACACCUGCAACCAUUCCAAAGCCGAGCAGCUACUAGCAGCAAUGAAAGAAGACGGCAUCGAACCAACAAUUGCCACUAUGCACAUCCUCAUGACUUCUUAUGGGACUGCAGGGCACCCAGUGGAAGCUGAGAAAGUGCUGAACAGCUUGAAAUCUUCCAGUUUGGAAGUCAGCAGUUUACCAUACAGUACUGUUUUUGACGCCUACUUGAAAAAUGGUGACUACAGUCUUGGAAUCACAAAGUUGUUGGAAAUGAAAAGAGAUGGUAUAAAACCAGAUCAUCAAGUUUGGACAUGUUUCAUAAGGGCCGCUAGUUUGUGCGAGCGAACUGAUGAUGCCAUUCUUCUCCUAAACUCUUUACAAGAUUGUGGAUUUGGCCUUCCUAUUAGGCUCCUGACUGAGAGGACUCCAUCCCUGUUAACUGAGGUUGACAGUUUUCUAGAAGAACUCGAGGCACUAGAAGAUUCUGCUGCUCUGAACUUUGUAAAUGCACUAGAAGACCUGCUGUGGGCAUUUGAACGUCGAGCAACUGCUUCAUACAUUUUCCAGUUGGCAGUAAAUAGAAGCAUAUACCGUCACAGUAUCUUUCGGGUGAUAGAAAAGGACUGGGGAGCUGACUUCCGGAAGCUGUCUGCUGGCGCUGCACUUGUCGCUCUAACAUUAUGGCUUGAUCAAAUGCAAGAUGCUUCACUACAGGGUUCACCAGAAUCCCCCAAAUCUAUUGUACUGGUCACAGGGGAGGGGGAAUAUAACAUGGUAUCCUUGCGUAAGACGAUCAGAGCGUACCUUUUGGAAAUGGGGUCCCCUUUCUUGCCAUGUAGAGCUCGAACAGGUCGCUUUGUGGCGAAGUUUUACUCUCUUAAGAUGUGGCUGAAAGAUUCUCCUUUCUGCAUGGAUCUUGAGUUGAAAGACGCCCCAGCUCUUCCUAAAAUGAACUCAAUGAAGCUCACUGAAGGGUACUUCAUGAGAGCUGGUCUUGUAUCAACAUUUAAAGAUAUACACGAGCAACUUGGGGAAGUACGGCCAAAGAAAUUCUCCAGAUUAGCUAUGUUGUCAGAAGAAAGCAGGGCCAAAUUUAUUAAAGCUGAUAUAAAAGGAAGGAAAGACAAACUGGAGAGAAUUAAAGAGAAGGGGCUUGUCAUACCAAGAAAAUCUAAAAGAGGACCACGGAGAGCAAAAUUUGUUAGAGAACAAAGCACGCAGGAGGUUUUGAAGUAG